rnacentral:rRNA from 1 species
AACGCGAAGAACCUUACCUGGGCUCGAAAUGGAGUGGACCGGGGUAGAAAUAUCCCUUCCCCGCAAGGGGCCGCUUUAUAGGUGCUGCAUGGCUGUCGUCAGCUCGUGUCGUGAGAUGUUGGGUUAAGUCCCGCAACGAGCGCAACCCUUAUCCCCAGUUGCCAUCAUUUAGUUGGGCACUCUGGUGAAACCGCCUCGGAUAACGGGGAGGAAGGUGGGGAUGACGUCAAGUCCUCAUGGCCUUUAUGUCCAGGGCUACACACGUGCUACAAUGGCCGGUACAAACCGUCGCAAACCCGCGAGGGGGAGCUAAUCGGAAAAAGCCGGCCUCAGUUCGGAUUGCAGUCUGCAACUCGACUGCAUGAAGCUGGAAUCGCUAGUAAUCGCGGAUCAGAACGCCGCGGUGAAUACGUUCCCGGGCCUUGUACACACCGUAGUAC